rnacentral:rRNA from 1 species
UACGGAGGGUGCAAACGUUGCUCGGAAUCAUUGGGCGUAAAGCGCACGUAGGUGGCUCGUUAAGUCGGAUGUGAAAGCCCUAGGCUCAACCUAGGAAGUGCAUUCGAAACUGGCGAGCUUGAGUAUGGAAGAGGGUCGCGGAAUUCCCGGUGUAGAGGUGAAAUUCGUAGAUAUCGGGAGGAACACCAGUGGCGAAGGCGGCGACCUGGGCCAAUACUGACACUGAGGUGCGAAGGCGUGGGGAGCAAACAGG